rnacentral:rRNA from 1 species
GAUAGGUUAAGUUAAUAAGGGCGCAUGGUGGAUGCCUUGGCACUAGAAGGCGAUGAAGGACGUGACUAACUACGAUAUGCCUCGGUUAGCUGUAAGUAAGCUUACCCGGGGGUUUC